GCAUUGGCAGUUCAGUGGUAGAAUUCUCGUCUUCCAUGUGGGAGAUCUGGGUCUGAUUCCUGGCCAGAGCA
rnacentral:tRNA from 1 species